UUGAUGGCGACCGGCGCACGGGUGCGUAACGCGUAUGCAACCUACCUUUUACAGGGGCAUAACACUGAGAAAUUGGUACUAAUUCCCCAUAAUAUCUGAGACGGCAUCGUUUUGGGUUGAAAACUCCGGUGGUAAAAGAUGGGCAUGCGUUGUAUUAGCUAGUUGGUGAGGUAACGGCUCACCAAGGCGACGAUACAUAGGGGGACUGAGAGGUUAACCCCCCCACAUUGGUACUGAGACACGGACCAAACUCCUACGGAAGGCAGCAG
rnacentral:rRNA from 1 species